AGACGCUGGCCGGCAGCCAACAGAGGACAGCUUUCCUAAGUUGGCUUCCUCCCUCCAACAUGUGGUAUCCAGGGAUCAAACUCAGGUUCUCAGAAGAAUACCUCCAUCUACAAAAUUGUUGGAUCUUCACUGCAGAAUUAUCUUUUGUUCAGAGACUCAUGUAAGCCAGGCUGGUCUCACAAUCCCAUAUAACUGAAGAUCACCUUAAACUUCCGAAC